AUUGAACGCUGGCGGCAGGCCUAACACAUGCAAGUCGAGCGAGCGGCGGACGGGUGAGUAAUGUAUGGGGAUCUGCCCGAUAGAGGGGGAUAACUACUGGAAACGGUAGCUAAUACCGCAUACCAUAGGAUGAGCCCAAGUGGGAUUGGGUAGUUGGUGAGGUAAAGGCUCACCAAGCCGACGAUCUCUACCUUGUCUGAGAGGAUGCCCAGCCACACGGGGACUGAGACACGGCCCAGACUCCUACGGGAGGCAGCAGUGGGGAAUAUUGCGCAAUGGGGGCAAUCCUGACGCAGCCAUGCCGCGUGAAGGAAGAAGGCCUUCGGGUUGUAAAGUUCUUUCGGUAGCGAGGCGUUAACUACAGAAGAAGCACCGGCUAACUCCGUGCCAGCAGCCGCGGUAAUAC
rnacentral:rRNA from 1 species